UGAGAUCGACACGUUACACUAACGAACGACUCUAGACAUCGUCCGAUACCAAUCCAAAAACAAUUCUGGACGAACUAGUCCGUGGCACCGGCUCUCUUGCGCCAUAACGUCGUCGUCGACGUUGAGUCUAAACGUGAUGAGAAAGCGAUAAAUCCUGAGAACUCAUCGAUCGAAGCUGAUAGGCAAAUUUUAUUUUUGUAUCGCCCGUUCAUCGCCUAGGUAUUCAUCCUUCUAACGAAUCUAACGAGGGAGAACGAUCGGGAAGGACUACCAAUAGGCGAUACCAAAGUAUGCGUUGGUCUUCGACGAGUCGUUUAAUUAGCCUGUGACAGUAUGUUUGUUUCGUGGAGAUGACAGCAAGAGAGAUGGAAAAGAACGAGCUCGGAUUAGUGAUUGAUGAAGAAAGUGAUUAAAAAAGGCAGACUCUCUUUAAUGACGAGAACAUCCUGUAGAACGAGAACGAAUUCCUGGUAAUCAUCCGGCUGUUGGCCCUUCAUACAUCACCGUCCGCCCGUCGAAAUACACCGGGCAACACCGAUAUUGCACCUUUUUCAAUCGAUCCUUUAUAAUCUCUUAGACCAGAAUUUACUCGAUACCUCGGGAAUAGAUAGAUUAAGAAGAUUUGCCAUACGGAACGAAAAUGCAAAGGAAGAGAUUGGUCGAAGUUUUAAUGGACUUUUACCGUUGGCCAUUAACUACAGUUACUAACUAAAUAAUUGAACGUUCGAAGGAAACGGCCAUUCCGUGACAACGAUAAAACGAAGGACUCUGCGAAAGAUUCGAUCUUGGAGGAUCGAAUUCGAUCUACGAAUUCUUCCUUCUUCCGAAUUCCUUUUCGGACCUCUUCGAGAGAAGAAGGAGAAAGAUCGUCGCGAGCGAUAGCGAGCAUAAAAGUAUGGCUUCAUUCACGAAACCGGCUGCCAGGAGAAAAGGAUGCUACAAAAAAAGAAGAAUACUACUACUCGAGGAGACUCGGGCGGAUAAGGAGCCACUCUAUUCGCAGAUAAGGGGGUGAAUAACCGUGGAUAAAAAUACUGGCGCGGCCAAUACGGUGGAGAGAUAAAUAGCGAGGAAAGACAGGGUGUGUGUGUGUGUGUAUGUGCGUGUGAGAGAGAGAGAGAGAGAGAGAGAGAAAGAGUGCGUGUAGUUGGACGACGCGGUUGCUUGCCAUCCGAUCGGAAUGCGCUUCGCGUACUCGCUUUGCCUUCUUGCCUGCCUGCUUGCUUGCCUGCCUGCCUGUCUGCCUGCCUGCCUGCCUACUUGCCUGCCUGCCUCAAGCUGGGUCCAAGUGUCUGUAGGACGGAAUAAAUGACCCAGAGAUAAAAUGGCCUCCCCUCUGGGCCUAAUUAAGAGCAAACUUUUCAUCCGCGAAAAUUUCUCCGCAACGACGCACGUCGUGCGCGGAUGAUGAAACACUCGUGGGAGCCGAUUUGGUUAUGUAGGUUGAAACAGGUACAUAAAGAGCACCUGGGAUACGUAUAAAACGUCGUCGAGAACGUGCUUUGCGAUUUUCCCGUGUAGGAAAAAAAGAAAAAAGAAAAAAAAAAUAAACAGCCUUCGCAAAGAAGGAUCCGAUUAUUUGGCUCGUUCGCGCUUUAUUAUCGUCGAACCGAGGAAUUGAAAUUAAUUAAUGAGAGGAAUCGAAGAGCUGAAAAUAUGUAAAAUUUUGUAAAAGACGACAGGGGUGGAGAAUGUUAAUUAAGACAAGCCACAGCAAUCAAAAAACGAUCUUUAUUCGUUCGUCGUUGUUAAUCGUGUUAGUAAAAAGCACGUAUUGCAAAGUCUUGCAGAAAUAACACACAAACACGGUCAGAACUGGCGAAAGUGCAGGAAGACGACGAAGAUGCACACGGCGUACCGUCACAGUGUUUACAGCGCUUCGCCCUCGGCUCAGGCAUUCUGCGGUGACCUCGUGACCUCACCGAUAUUCCAUCGUCGUUUUCUGCACUUCGCGCGCGAGCGCACCACACUUUCAGCACACACGGACACCCGAUGCACGCACGUAGCUCGCAGCACUCGGCUUCGAUUCGCUCGUGCAAUAACACUCCUCCUUCUCCUCCUCCUCCUCCUCCUCCUCUUCUGCUCCUCCUUCUAAUCCUCUCGAUGCUCGGCCACUCUUUCUCUUAGGGGCGAUCGAUUCGAGAACGAAUUUCUUCUUCUCUAUCUCCAACGAGAAUCGCGACUGGUCUCACCAAAAGGCACAUUGAUUUCCUUCAAUGUUAUACCCAAUGUCGGGACGAUCGACGGUAUUACUUUUAAAAUAAUUCAUAUAACGCGCGACACUUUCGUUCUUAAACGUCAUGCGUUUGAAAAGAAACGCGUUCGAUUUGUCAUCGUUUACGCACGGCCUCGACACGGAUAACGCGCGGCCCGCAGCACUGUUCUAUCGAGGAAAAUUCAAGGAAACGACAAAGAGAGGCUUGAAAAAAUAUCGCGAUAUAAUCCUUAAAAAUAAAUAAAAUAUACUAAUGGUCCUCGAUCCGCGAGCAUUUAUUUACAAAGAUUUUUUUUUCAUCCUUUUUUCACGGCCCUGUCUCUCCUCUCCUCGUACAUUUUUUCUUUCUUUUCUUUCUCUAUUUUCAAUGUAUUUUUCAAUGAUUAGGGAAUGCAGUCUUCUCUUGUUCUGGGAAUGAUAACGUCGUGAUUCGUUCGGAGCUCCGGGAUUAAAGGAAAAUCGAGCCUUUGGACGAGCCUUUUAGCUCGCCAUCCUGUCUCGCGGAGAUCGCCCUCGCAUCGUCCGUUACAUUUUCUUUCGGCGAAUCCUCGCUCGAUCUCUUCGAAAGGAUAAACGCUUGACGUCUCGAAAAAACGAUCGGGAACGAGUUUCGUAUCUCUUCCUCUCGAACGCUCCGUACAUGGAUUCAUGAAUCGUUCGGUAUCCUCGUUACCAACGCCAUAACUCAAAGAGUCUCUGAACACUUUUCGAUCGAAGAAAUCAUAAGUAGUAGAGUGAGUUUGCAAAGAACGAUGUUCGCGAUUACGUCACGUCGCGAACUAUUACCCCUUAGGAAAGCGUCUCUUUCUCUCGUUCUUCGCGGCUAAUCUUGUUUUGCUUCUUCUUGCCCUCCUCCUCUUCCUCCUCCUCCUCCUCCUCCUCUUCCUCCUCCUCCUCCUCCUCCUCCUCCUCCUUCUCUUCUUCUUCUUUUUUCACCGUCGAGGACGUUUCGUUCGUGAAUCUCACGCGAAUAACGGCCACUGAGUUCUCGUCCUAUCCUCUCGAAGGAGGAAGUAUCCGUGGCUCGCGUGGUCGUCGUCGAUCGUUGUCGUAACGACGAUCGGUCUUUUUCGGAUAGGUUAGAAAGAGAGCGAUUGAGAGAGAGAGAGAGAGAGAGAGAGAGGGAGAGAGCGAGAGAAAGAGAGAAAACAGAUAGAUGAAAUAAGGGAGAGAGUAAGCUUGUGAACGAGUAAGAAAUAGAGGUAAAGGGGGGGAGAGAGAGAGAGAGAGAGAAACGUGGAAGGAUGCAAAGGGCUCGCAAGACAGUUAUUGCCAAUCGUUCGAAAACGGUUGCGGGUGCGUUCACAUCGCGAGGUGGAGGGCGUCUAGGUCGCCGUAGCGCCUCGCAGCCAUGUCACACGCGCACUGACGGACCCUCGACGCCGGGACGCCGUCUUCGGUCGGACUCGGUCCACCCUCUCGGUAAGCGUCGGGACGCCUGGCACGUAGCCAAUCUAAAACUCCGAGAUCGUUCCAUCCUUUCACGCUGCGAGGCGCUUUCGAACAGUCAUCCUCGUCGUCUUUCCUCGAUUCCUAUUCCUAUCGAUUUUAUCGGAUCAACGAUCGAUUUUUAUAUCAUUAUUAUCGUACGAGAGACAACGUGAAAAUAAUCAUUGGCAAUGAUUAUUGUCCGUGGAAUAAAAAAAAUAUCA